rnacentral:tRNA from 1 species
GCGCCCAUAGCUCAGCUGGAUAGAGUGACAGACUUCGAAUCUGGAGGUCGGGGGUUCGAGUCCCUCUGGGCGCACCA